rnacentral:lncRNA from 1 species
CAAUUUGAGCCGCGUCGAGGUCGGGCUUGGGAAGGGUCAGCGGGAGGCCUGAGGGCGCCGGGCGCUGCGGCAGGCGGGCCCGGGGUCCAGCCGAGAGGGUCCGGGCGCCAGGCAACGCGAUUCGCGCGGGGGUGAACCCGGGGAGGGGGCCGGCCUCCCCGUUCUGGGACCUUUCCUCCCCUGGGACCUGUGGCCGCCGCCCACAGACCAUGCUCCUGGGGCGCCUGACUUCCCAGCUGUUGAGGGCCGUUCCUUGGGC